UUCGUGGGUNCCGAUGAUAGCUGAGC
rnacentral:piRNA from 1 species